UACGGGGGGGGUAAGCGUUGUUCGGAAUUACUGGGCGUAAAGGGCUCGUAGGCGGCCAACUAAGUCAGACGUGAAAUCCCUCAGCUUAACUGGGGAACUGCGUCUGAUACUGGAUGGCUUGGAUUCGGGAGAGGAAUGCGGAAUUCCAGGUGUAGCGGUGAAAUGCGUAGAUAUCUGGAGGAACACCGGUGGCGAAGGCGGCAUUCUGGACCGAUAUUGACGCUGAGGAGCGAAAGCCAGGGGAGCAAACAGG
rnacentral:rRNA from 1 species